CCUACGGGAGGCAGCAGUAAGGAAUAUUGGUCAAUGGAGGCAACUCUGAACCAGCCAUGCCGCGUGCAGGAAGACAGCCCUCUGGGUCGUAAACUGCUUUUAUUCGGGAAUAAACCUACUUACGUGUAAGUAGCUGAAUGUACCGAAGGAAUAAGGAUCGGCUAACUCCGUGCCAGCAGCCGCGGUAAUACGGAGGAUCCAAGCGUUAUCCGGAUUUAUUGGGUUUAAAGGGUGCGUAGGCGGCUUUUUAAGUCAGGGGUGAAAGACGGUAGCUCAACUAUCGCAGUGCCCUUGAUACUGAAGAGCUUGAAUGAACUAGAGGUAGGCGGAAUGUGACAAGUAGCGGUGAAAUGCAUGGAUAUGUCACAGAACACCGAUUGCGAAGGCAGCUUACUAUGGUUAUAUUGACGCUGAGGCACGAAAGCGUGGGGAUCAAACAGGAUUAGAUACCCUGGUGGUCCACGCCCUAAACGAUGAAUACUCGCUGUUAGCGAUACACAGUAGUCGGCGUAAGACGAAGACGUUAAGUUAAUUACCUACCGUACGGGUAGGUACGGUCGCGAGAGUAGUAACGUACGAAGUAAGUAGUAGUACGUCGUAGAGACGACGACGACGACGACGACGGAGGGAGGAGG
rnacentral:rRNA from 1 species